UGUGUAGGCGGUUCUCCAAGUUUGGUGUGAAAUCUCCCGGCUCAACCGGGAGGGUGCGCCGAAAACUGGAGGGCUAGAGUGCGGGAGGGGAGAGUGGAAUUCCUGGUGUAGCGGUGAAAUGCGUAGAUAUCAGGAGGAACACCGGUGGUGUAGACGGCUCUCUGGACCGUAACUGACGCUGAGACACGAAAGCGUGGAUAGCAAACAGGAUUAGAUACCCUGGUAGUCCACGCCCUAAACGAUGCAUAUUUGGUGUGGGUCAUUCAGUUGAUCCGUGCCGGAGCUAACGCGUUAAAUAUGCCGCCUGGGGAGUACAGUCGCAAGGCUGAA
rnacentral:rRNA from 1 species